ensembl:lncRNA
AUGCUCAGUAGAGGGCGCAGGACAAAAGGGACCGGACCCCCACAGGGAUUUAGGGAAAUCCUUCCCAGGAUACACCAGGCCUAUAACGACCAGCAGACCGACUCCAACGCUGUAAGACGCAGUGCUGGCUUUCCCAGGAUGCCCCAGGAGCGUGCGGAGCCGCGUAGGGGAAGGAAAGGAGUCCGGAUCUCGCCCUCAGGUCAUCACGGCUCAAGACCGCUGCAGGCUCCUCGGUGCCGGCUGCCGCCGCUCCCAUCAUGCAGCGGGGCCGUAGCGCCCGCUUCCCAGCAUGCCCCGCGCACCCCGACCGCGGACACUCACCGGGGCUGGCGGCCCCAGCUCCGGCUCGGCGGUGGCGGCUGCACGCCCAGACUCUGCGCCUGCGUUGCAAGCGGAGUAGGAGGGAGAGCAAGGGGCGUGAGGAGCCUAGRGCGCUUGCGCAGCCAGAUGGACCAUUCCUGUCGCGCUGUGGGAAGAGGGGCUAUCCGAGUCGGGCCACGGAGGGAACCCGCGCACGGGUUGCCGUGCUUUGCCCCUCACUGCCCGCGUUUACUUGGUACAGUCCGCGGCCUGAAGGAUCGAGAAGCUCCAGGGCUCGCGCGUGCGUUGAAUAGGACAGAUCUGGCCCCAUCUUUGUGGCACUAUGGUCAACGGAAGAUCUACACAUAAUUAGACUACUACCUAAAAGGGUCACACCUGGAAUGGUUGGCGCAUAGGAAGCUGUGGGUGCCAGAAGAAGCGCCCGCCUCAGCCUGGGAUACUGGAAAGACUUCCAAAAGGUGGUGAUUUUUAAGCCAAGUAUGAAUAGGUGCCAACUAGAAUGGGAGUCUUUCUGGCAGAAGGAACAUCAAGGUCAAAAGCCCAGAGGCAGGCAAAACAACAACAACAACAAGUGCAUAGUUUGAAGAAGUGAAAGCAGCUUACUGUCCCUGAAACACAUUGGAGAAGGGAAAUUCUACGGGCGAUUUUAAAGAGCUUAGACUUUAUUCUGAGUAUAGGAAGCCGUUGCAAGGUUCCAGCCUUCUAGGAAGAAAUAACUUUGUCACACAGCAAUUUAAAACUCUUCCAUGGAGUCCCAUUACAACUUAAAACAAACAAAACCUAAACUCAUGUAUCAUAGCUUCAGGGUCUGUCACAUGGUCUGGCCCUAUUUCUCCUUGUGGCCUCACCCUCCUUUUUUAUCCACUCCUGUCUAGCUCCACUUGACUUUAGAUAGCCAAUCUCUUUACCAUCUUGCGCCUUUGAUCUUGCUGUUCCCUUUGCCUGAAAAUGCUUUUUCAUCAGAUCUUUUAAUAGCUGUGCUCACAAUUCCUAUCUUGAAACACAUGUCAACUUAAGAGGCUUUCCCUGAUUAUAACAGCAUCUUCAGAUUGGAGUUUGAACAAAGCGAGACUGGCCUUGCUUUUUCAACUGUUUGUUGAAACUGGAGCGAAAGGUGCAUGGGACUUCAUGGCCUGUUCUCCCUACUGCUGUAUAAUUUAAGUUUUCAUAGUAACGUGUUAAAAUGGUACUGCGCAUCUCUACAUAUUAUUUUUUAAAMUUUAUUUUUGGUGGUACUGGGAAUUGAGCCCAGAAGCAUUUUACUCCUAAUCCACAACCUCAGCCCUUUUUAUUCUUUGAGACARGGUCUCCCUAAAUUGCCAGCCGACCUAGAACUUGGGCUUUUUCUGCCUCAGCCUCCUGAAUAGCUCUGCCACCAUUGAWGCCAGAAUUAGACAGGCAGUCAGUAUAACAGGUAAAUUGAGUCAGGUAGGAUCAAGGAGGCCAAUUUGAGUCCAGAAAGUUGGAGARCUAUYAAAAUGCUAAUGCAGGGGGAGGGGGCUGGGGUUGUGGCUCAGUGGUAGAGCGCUUGCCUAGCAUGCACUAGGCACUGGGUUUGAUCCUCAGCACCACAUAGAUGUAAAAUAAAAAUAUUGUGUCCGCUUAAAACUUGAGAAUA